rnacentral:misc_RNA from 1 species
GAUGAAGAACGCAGCGAAAUGCGAUAAGUAAUGUGAAUUGCAGAAUUCAGUGAAUCAUCGAAUCUUUGAACGCACCUUGCGCCCUUUGGCCAUUCCGAAGGGCAUGCCUGUUUGAGUAUCAUGAACACCUCAACUCUUUAUGGUUUUCCAUGAUGAGCUUGGACUCUGGGGGUUUUGCUGGCUCACAGUCGGCUCCUCUAAAAUGAAUCAGCUUACCAGUGUUUGGUGGGUAUCAUGGGUUUGAUAACUAUCUACGCUUGUGGUUUUUCCACCAGGUAACCUUCAGCAGUGGAGGUUCGCUGGAGCUCAUAGAUGUCUCUCCUCAGUGAGGACAGCCCUUUGAAUGUUUGAUCUCAAAUCAGGUAGGACUACCCGCUGAACUUAAGCAUAUCAAUAAGCGGAGGA